AAGGAUUUAAGUUAAAUAAUAAACUGUUAGCCUUCAAAGCUGAAAAUAGGAACUAUUCCUAAGCCUUA
rnacentral:tRNA from 1 species